GAUGAACGCUGGCGGCGUGCUUAACACAUGCAAGUCGAACGAUGAAGCCCAGCUUGCUGGGUGGAUUAGUGGCGAACGGGUGAGUAACACGUGAGUAACCUGCCCUUAACUCUGGGAUAAGCCUGGGAAACUGGGUCUAAUACCGGAUAGGAGCGUCCACCGCAUGGUGGGUGUUGGAAAGAUUUAUCGGUUUUGGAUGGAUUCGCGGCCUAUCAGCUUGUUGGUGAGGUAAUGGCUCACCAAGGCGACGACGGGUAGCCGGCCUGAGAGGGUGACCGGCCACACUGGGACUGAGACACGGCCCAGACUCCUACGGGAGGCAGCAGUGGGGAAUAUUGCACGAUGGGCGCAAGCCUGAUGCAGCGACGCCGCGUGAGGGAUGACGGCCUUCGGGUUGUAAGCCUCUUUCAGUAGGGAAGAAGCGAAAGUGACGGUACCUGCAGAAGAAGCACCGGCUAACUACGUG
rnacentral:rRNA from 1 species